UUUUUAAUAAAUGGUCAUGAACCUUUUUUAAUAUACACCCGCCAUCUCUUGAAUACAGUGAAUGUUUUUGAAAUAUACUCCCUCCGUAUCAAAUUAUAAGACGUUUAGGAAAACGUUCCGACCAGGGGAAAACUAAGGAAAAUACAUUGCUACCCCUCCGAGAACUGCUACCACAAAAUCUUCAUCUUCCUCUAGAUCACCGCCCAGCUCGCUCUAGAUUGCCUCCCAGCUCGCC
rnacentral:lncRNA from 1 species